rnacentral:rRNA from 1 species
GCGUUAAUCGGAAUUACUGGGCGUAAAGCGUGCGCAGGCGGUCUGUUGAGACCUAUGUGAAAUCCCCGGGCUUAACCUGGGAACUGCAUUGGUGACUGGCAGGCUUUGAGUGUGGCAGAGGGAGGUAGAAUUCCACGUGUAGCAGUGAAAUGCGUAGAGAUGUGGAGGAAUACCGAUGGCGAAGGCAGCCUCCUGGGCCAACACUGACGCUCAGGCACGAAAGCGUGGGGAGCAAACAGG